AGAUUCGUACAGGUUAUAGCCGCCCCACGCUGCCCAGGCAAGUGAUGUCACCUGUUCACCAAGAAAUUCAUCUGGGUUUACACCCCCUUGCAUCUCUCGUAACCUUAGCUGGGCGUCACUACAGACAUCUUCGAUUUACCACUGAGAAGAUGCCAGCCACUAUGCAACCUCUCUGCAGGCCACAGCAACAACAACUCUUGAGGAUGGGCAUGGCGUCGCACUGUUCUCCUCUCCGCUACUCUACUCCGUCAAUUCCUGGCUGUUUUUCCCCAACACAGAGCUCACGUAGGGUAACUGUAGAGAUGAACAAAGGACGUCGAUUCGAUGUCAGUGACAAAAGCAUGGGAUCCGCUGUUGGAACAAAAAGUGUUUAAUGGUCAGUAGGC